GUGCGUGACUGAUCAGCAGCCUAACCUUUGGUUUUUAAGUAAAAAUGUGAUGAAUCCAAUUCGACAAUUCUUCUGUAAGUUUGAAUUCUGAUUUCAAUUGCUGAUAAGAAUUGUGAAGUUUUCAAUUACAUAUCCUGAACUUGUGAACCCUGAUAAGAUAUUUCAGGACUAUUGUUGCUUAUAUACACUUGCUGAGCAUUGUUGCUCACCCUUGCUAUUCCUUUUUAACCAUUUCAGAAAAGCUUAAAGAUGAAUUGCAUGAUUGAGAUUGCGAGUAUGGCUAAGGCUAGGCGAGGAGUCAGAGUAUAGAAUAUCCAGAGGACAAGUGGAAAUGUUCAGGGAGAUUGUCAAGGUUGGUUCUAGAUAGAAUUGUUAAGAUUCAGUUGUAAUCAUAAUUUAAAUAGAUUGGCAGUGAUUCUUCUCAUCGAAGAUGAUCUGAGGCUGUAAGACAUUGUUUAUUUAUAGUGGUUGAUUCUAAUUUCAAUACUGUAACCUGGAUGCGAUCCUGUUUUUAGGGGGUUAAAGUGUUUUCUUUUAAAUCUUUUACUAAAGUUUUCAGGUUUUAAAUCCUUUGGUUUUAUUACCUUUUUCAAAAAUACAGGUUUUCAAAAGUGUUUUAGAAUGAUUUUGUGUGGUGACGUCAGAAUCCAGACCCCCGGAUUCUCGGGCUGUCACAGUUGGUAUCAGAGCAACAGGUUAUAAGUUACUGAAAUUAGAAUAUAGGUUGUCAUUAUAAGUUUAUAGAGAAGAAGUGUUCAGUGACCUCAUAUAGAGGUAUUGUGAGACUGUCUGGGGAUAGUCUAGAGAGGUAAUCGGAAUAGAAUCUAGAUAGUUAAAUUAAGUUGAGGGUACAUGUUUAGAUGGAUCAUGGUUCCUAAGUCUAGACACUUGGUUUCUAGUAUGGGGACUGAUUGAGAUAGUGAAUUGUGAUAAGGGUCAGAGUCAGACCUAGUCAAAAGAGUAUUAAUAAUGAAUGAUUAAGUUAAGAAUGAUAAAGAUGCAUGGUUUGGAGUAUUCUGACCAUGUUACAUAUUUGAAAGUGGUUUAUCGUUUGAAUUGAGAUGUAGAAGAAUGGGUGUUGAAUAUGAGAUAUUGUGAAUUAGAAAGAGAGUUUUGUAGAUAGAUAUGAUUUGAAUGAUAGAGAGUAUGUGGAAUUGAGUCUAGUUAUC
rnacentral:lncRNA from 1 species